GCGAACUAGGGCCAUCUUGGCCCUCUUGUUUCCGAUUGUUAUUGAUAAAUUGUAACUGCUAUUUUAAUAAUAUAUUUUAAUAAUAUAAUUUCCAAAUUGUCGACCAAAAGCAUUACGCAUGUUCUAUUUUUUUGUAUUGUUGUUGAUGAUUAUUCAUAAAGAAAUAUUUUAAAUAUUUUCUGAGUAAGAAUAGUAAUUUUGCUUGCUUAUAUAAUAUGUUCACUUUUUUUUCGAAUCUAUUACAAUUCAUAUUUGAAAUUCACAUUUUGCUUAAAUUGUUCAAAGGAAUUGAUGCAAUCGAUCUCUUAUUGUUUUGUUGCUCAUGAAAUGUUCUGAUAUGGACUGGUUUCAUGUCACAUGCAAUUUGAUAUCAGAUAUGAUUUAAAACAUAUUUUGCAAAUUUUCUUUGUACUUUUUAUCAUAUUUUUUUUAAUUAUUUACUUAUAUGCAAUGCAUGAAUAUUUAUUGUGCUUGACAGGGGCGGACUGAUUCCAAUUUACCAGUAUGUUUUACUUGUUCAAAAACAUGGAUCAAAAUGUUAUGCAUAUUUAUAUGUUUCUAUCGUAAUACAAUUGGAUUGCAUCAUUUUAAGUCACAGUACUCACUGUUCAACACAUACGGAUUCUGCUACAAAGAUUGUUGAAAGUUCAAAAUUAGUUUGAUGAUCUAAUCAAAAGUGAAUUUGUCACACAAAAACAGCAAUUCCAUAUUUAAGGCCUUUUAGAAAGAAAUGUCUAAUUCUGGAUAGAAUAUAUUUCCAAUUUUAGAUUUUAAACUGACUGUGAUCUUGACCCUUGACGCCUCGGAUACUCUGUCUAGCUUUGCUUGUCUCUUUUAUUUAUUAUGCCCCCCUACAAAGAAGAGGGGGUAUAUUGUUUUGCACAUGUCGGUCGGUCCGUCUUCCAAAUGGUUUCCGAAUGAUAACUCAAGAACGCUUAGGCCUGGGAUCAGGGAAGUUCAUAGGUACAUUGAUCAUGACUGGCAGAUGACGACUAUUGGUUUUCAGGUCACUAGGUCAAGGUCACAGUGACUCAAAACAGUAUAAUGGUUUCCGGAUGAUAACUCAAGAACGCUUAAGCCUGGGAUCAGGAAAGUUCAUGGGGACAUUGUUCAUGACCGGCAGAUGACCCCUAUUGAUUUUCAGGUCACUUGGUCAAAGUUCAAAGUGACUCGAAGCAGUAAAAUGGUUUCCGGAUGAUAACUCAAGAACGCUUAAGCCUGGGAUCAGGAAUGUUCAUGGGGACAUUGGUAAUGACCGGCAGAUGACCCCUAUUGACUUUCAGGUCACUAGGUCAAAUUUCAAGGUCACAGUGACUCGAAAUAGUAAAAUAGUUUCCGGAUGAUAAUGUAUUCAUACAAGGGCUGCCACUACAACUGACAGCCCAAUUGGGGGCAUGCGUGUUUUACAAACAGUCCUUGUUUAGAAAUCAAAUCAAAUUUGGCAAUACACAAUAAAUUGCCCGGGGAAAACCAUUUACAUAAACUUUUGUCUUGAAGUAAGACCUUUGAUAUAGGGUCAGAUUCCUGUAUAUGGAAAAAUCUGGUCACUAAUAAGAAUUUGAAAAAUCUUUUCAGAUCAGACUUUGUUGUUCAGGACAAAAAUAAGGUGCCUUGACAUUGAACUGUUACUUUGAUCAUUGACAUGAGGACGUAUUUCUUGCCCACAACACAACUGAUCAUCCUGGUCACUUAAUUGUACUUUAUUUGCAAUCAAUACAUUCAAGGCACUGAGCCUUGCUCAGUUUGAAGAGCGGUGUACUACAAACGCAAGGUUGGCGUGGUUUUAUUCUUGACCCAGUGAUAGAACUUGUCUGGGGCGUGUCAUGAUAUUCAUUCUAUGGCCAUUCACCCCUAUCUCUGAUCAAAGUAGGUCAGUUGUUAGCUUUUGGCAUAAGUAUGUGCAGUAGAUACAUGUUAACCAACAUACACUUUAAAAAUAAAAGUGGGUUUAACUUCCACAGUCACAACUGAAAUACUGUUCAAAAUAUAAAAUCAAAUACAGAUUAACAAACACAUACAUGCUGGACAAAUUUAUCUCACAACAAAGAGUUUGGGUUUAUGUAUCAAAUGUGACCUUUUAACCUGCUUGAAUUGUGACUUUGACCCUUAACUUAUGGAACCUGGAUCUUGCAUUAAAGCCCCCCCCCACCCUGGUCUAGACAAUUUUUUUCACUUCUUUCAAGUUUGUUUUUAGCUCACCUGAUUGCUCAGGUGAGCUUUUCUGAGCGGUCUUUGUCCGUCAUCCGUCCGUCCGUUAACAUUUGCUUGUAAACACUCUAGAGGCCACAUUUGUUGUCCCAUCUUCAUGAAACUUGGUCAGAAGCUUUGCCCCAAUAAAAUCUCGGCCGAGUUCGAAACUGGGUUGUGCCGUGUCAAAAACAAGGUCACUAGGUCAAAAAAGGAGAACCUUGUAAACACUGUAGAAGUCACAUUUUAUGUUCAAUCUUCAUGUAAUUUUAUGUUCAAUCUUCAUGUAACUAUGUAAAAAUGUUUGUCUUAAUGUAUCUUGAUUGAGUUCAAAAGUGGUUCCGGUCUGUUAAAAACAUGGUCGCUAGUGGGCGGCGCAGUUUUCCUUAUUUGGCUAUAGAGAAACCUUGUAAACACUCUAGAAAUCACAAUUUUUGCCCAAUCAUCAUGAAAGGUGGUCAAAACAUUAAUUUAAUUGAUAUCUCGGACGAGUUCGAAAAUGAUCCAGAUCGGUAAAAAAACAUGGCCGCCAGUGGGCGGGGCAUUUUUCUCUAUAUGUAUAUAGUGGCAGUUUUCCCUAUUUGGCUAUAGAGAAACCUUGUAAACACUCUAGAAGUCACAAUUAUUGUCCAAUCAUCAUGAAAGUUUAUCAAAACAUUGGUUUCAUUGUUAUUUCGGACGAGUUCGAAAAUGGUCUAGAUCGGUGAAAAAACAUGGCCGCCAGUGGGCGGGGCAUUUUUCUUUAAAUGUAUAUAGUGGCAGUUUUCCCUAUUUGGCUAUAGAGAAACCUUGUAAACACUCUAGAAGUCACAAUUUUUGCCCAAUCAUCAUGAAAGUUGGUCAAAACAUUGGUUUUAUUGAUAUCUUGGACGAGUUCGACAAUGGUUUGGAUCGGUGAAAUAACAUGACUGCCAGUGGGUGGGGCAUUUUUCUCUAUAUGUAUACAUUGUAUAGUGAAAACAUAUUAACACUCUAGAAGUCACAUUUUUGGCCCAAUUUUUAUGAAAUUUGGUCAGAACAUUUGUUUCUUUGAUACAAGAGUUGAGUUCAAAAAUGGUUUCGGUCAAACCUUGUGAUCGAAUACUAUGGAAGUCACAUUUUUAUGCCCCCCUUCGAAGAAGAGGGGGUAUAUUGUUUUGCUCAUGUCGGUCCGUAUGUCUGUCCAACAGAUGGUUUCCGAAUGAUAAGUCAAGAACGCUUAGGCCUAGGAUCAUGAAACUUCAUAGGUACAUUGAUCAUGACUCGCAGAUGAUCCCUAUUGAUUUUGAGGUCUCUAGGUCAAAGGUCAAGAUCAUGGUGACCCGAAACAAGUAAAAUGGUUUCCCGAUGAUAACUCAAGAAGGCUUACGCCUAGGAUCAUGAAACUUCAUAGGUACAUUGAUUAUGACUCGCAGAUGACCCCUAUUGAUUUUGAGGUCACUAGGUCAAAGGUCAAGGUGACCCGAAAUAGUAAAAUAGUUUCUGGAUGAUAACUCAAGAACGCUUAUGCUUAGGAUCAUGAAACUUCAUAGGUACAUUGAUCAUGACUUGCAGAUGACCCCUAUUGAUUUUCAGGUCACUAGGUCAAAGGUCAAGGUCAUGGUGUUUCAACUUAGAAAAAUGGUUUCCAGAUGAUGAGUCAAGAAGGCCUAUGCCUAGGAUCAUGAAACUUCAUAGGUACAUUGAUCAUGACUUGCAGAUGACCCGUAUUGACUUUCAGGUCACUAGGUCAAGGUCACGGUUACUCUACACAGUAAAAUGGUUUUUUGAUGAAAACUCAAGAAAGCUUACGCCUAGGAUCAUGAAACAAUAUAAUGGUCAAGUUGAUAGAAUUUUCUUAUUAAAUCAAUCAAAAAUGGAAUUUACCAUGUAGAUGUUUUGAACAUCUUAUAACUUUGUUAUCUAUCUGACAUGUGUGCAUUAUAAUCAUUGCAUCUUUUUUAAAGAUGUUUGUGGUUUAAAGUUUUUGUUUUUGUUUUGGUAAUUAAACACAAUGCACUAAAUUGAAAAUUUCCAGACAGACUAACAUUGGGCUGACCUUGAAACGAUGCAAGAUGGAAUGUAAUUCAUUUGUUUGUUUUGUUAUUUAAAAUCUUGACAUGUCAACUAUGAAAACACUAUUCAAUUUUUAUUUUGUUAUCAUACUAGGACACUACAGUUCAUAUGUGCUCUAAAAUCUUCAAGUACACAAGAACAAACACACACAACUCAAUUUGAUAUUAACCCAUUGAUGCCUAACUUUGAUUAUGAGAGGAAGGAAUAAGUCAUGCUGAAGGAUACACACAUUGAUUGUUUAUGAAGUUAAUGUAUGGGAUCAGGAAUAACAUUUUUCUGUAAUUCGUUGGUGUGUGAGCUCUGGUCAACAGGCUGUGUUUAAAGAAGACAUUAACAAUGGAUAUAUGCUACUGCUGAUAAAGGGUUCUAAAAUAUACAGCUACAUGUACCAAAUUUAGGUUUGGAAUGUAAAUUGCUAACUGUAUGCUACAUUGAUCAUGACUCACCAAUGACCCCUAUUGAUCUUACUAGGUCAAAGGUGACAGUCACAGUGAUUCAAAAUACAAAAAUUGGUUUUCAAAUGAUAACUCAAAAACACUUUCACCUAGGAUAAAGACUUCAUAGGUACAUUGAUCAUGCUUAUAAAAAUACCCCUUUUGAAUUUCAAAUCACUACAUCAAAGAUCAACAUCACAGUGACUCAAAACAAUAAAAUUGUUUCUUGAUAUUUACUGACAAUGCUUACGCCUAGAUUCAUGAUCUUCAUAGUUACAUUGAUCAUGACUGGCAGAUGACCAACAUAAUGUUCAAGUCACUAGGUCAAACGUCUUAAUAACAAUGACUCAACACUGUAAAAUGGUGUCCAGAUGACAACUCAAGAAACCAAGGUCAAAAGUCAAAGUCACAAUGACUAAUAUAUUCAUAUUCACACAAUGGCUGCCAUUACAACUGACAGCCCAUAUGCAGGGAUGCAUGUUUUACAAGCAACCCAAUACAUUUUGUAAACAUUCAAUGAACACACUCUUCUCAGGUGAGCGAACUAGGGCCAUCUUGGCCCUCUUGUUUACUAAAACUGUGUUAUUGACCUUUGACAGAGGUGCAUGCUUCUUGUGCGUACAUCUGUCUGGAUAUGAUUGUCAAUGUUGCCAAGUUACUUAAAUAUCCUUAAAGGCUUAAAUUUGGAUUUGGGGUCAGUCACAACAUGCAAAUCACUUCUGCCAAGUUAUUUUUUAAAACCUGCCUCAGCUAGGACUCUCACAUAAUAUGGCUGUUUUUGAAAUCAUGGUGGCAUAAUAACUUUUAAUAGUAAAAGCUUAUUGAAUAAUUAUAGAAAGACGUAUGCCGCUUUCAGACUCUUUUUUUCACAUUAGCAUAAUAUUACAACAUUGCGUUUUAAGAACAUUUUUCAAUAUAAUAAUCACAUUAAGGUUAUUUACAUGUUUUAAAUCAAAGAACAGUUUGUCAGCAUACUUGUUGGGCUAUGUUUAAAUGAACUUUGUGAAGUUGACUGCAGGUAUUUAUAACUUGUUUUACCAAUAAAUAGUUUACAUGAAU